GGCGGGGUAGCUCAGGUGGUUAGAGCGCAGGAUUCAUAACCCUGAGGUCACGGGUUCAAUUCCCGUCUCCGCUACUA
rnacentral:tRNA from 1 species